rnacentral:misc_RNA from 1 species
GAUGAAGAACGUAGCGAAAUGCGAUAAGUAAUGUGAAUUGCAGAAUUCAGUGAAUCAUCGAAUCUUUGAACGCACAUUGCGCCCGCCAGUAUUCUGGCGGGCAUGCCUGUUCGAGCGUCAUUACAACCCUCAGGCCCCCGGGCCUGGCGUUGGGGAUCGGCGGAAGCCCCCUGCGGGCACAACGCCGUCCCCCAAAUACAGUGGCGGUCCCGCCGCAGCUUCCAUUGCGUAGUAGCUAACACCUCGCAACUGGAGAGCGGCGCGGCCACGCCGUAAAACACCCAACUUCUGAAUGUUGACCUCGAAUCAGGUAGGAAUACCCGCUGAAUUUAAGCAUAUCAAUAAGCGGAGGA